GACGAACGCUGGCGGCGUGCUUAACACAUGCAAGUCGAACGAAGAGCGACGGAAGCUUGCUUCUAUCAAUCUUAGUGGCGAACGGGUGAGUAACGCGUAAUCAACCUGCCCUUCAGAGGGGGACAACAGUUGGAAACGACUGCUAAUACCGCAUACGAUCUAACCUCGGCAUCGAGGAUAGAUGAAAGGUGGCCUCUACAUGUAAGCUAUCACUGAAGGAGGGGAUUGCGUCUGAUUAGCUAGUUGGAGGGGUAACGUCCCACCAAGGCGAUGAUCAGUAGCCGGUCUGAGAGGAUGAACGGCCACAUUGGGACUGAGACACGGCCCAGACUCCUACGGGAGGCAGCAGUGGGGAAUCGUCCGCAAUGGACGAAAGUCUGACGGAGCAACGCCGCGUGAGUGAUGACGGCCUUCGGGUUGUAAAGCUCUGUUAAUCGGGACGAAAGGCCUUCUUGCGAAUAGUGAGAAGGAUUGACGGUACCGGAAUAGAAAGCCACGGCUAACUACGUG
rnacentral:rRNA from 1 species